UACGGGGGGGGGCAAGCGUUGUUCGGAAUUACUGGGCGUAAAGGGCUCGUGAGGCGCCAACUAAGUCAGACGUGAAAUCCCUCGGCUUAACCGGGGAACUGCGUCUGAUACUGGUUGGCUUGAAUCCGGGAGAGGGAUGUGGAAUUCCAGGUGUAGCGGUGAAAUGCGUAGAUAUUGGGAGGAACACCAGCGGCGAAGGCGGCUCACUGGACCGGUUCUGGACGCUGAGGCGCGAAAGCGUGGGGAGCAAACGGG
rnacentral:rRNA from 1 species